AGGAGGAAAAAUUUGGCUGAUUGCGACCUCUGAAAAAAAAAUGCUAAAACAGCG
rnacentral:ncRNA from 1 species